rnacentral:misc_RNA from 1 species
GAUGAAGAACGUAGCAAAAUGCGAUAAGUAAUGUGAAUUGCAGAAUUCAGUGAAUCAUCGAAUCUUUGAACGCACAUUGCGCCCGCUGGUAUUCCGGCGGGCAUGCCUGUUCGAGCGUCAUUUCAACCCUCAAGCCCCCGGGUUUGGUGUUGGGGAUCGGCUCUGCCCUUCUGGGCGGUGCCGCCCCCGAAAUACAUUGGCGGUCUCGCUGCAGCCUCCAUUGCGUAGUAGCUAACACCUCGCAACUGGAACGCGGCGCGGCCAUGCCGUAAAACCCCAACUUCUGGAUGUUGACCUCGGAUCAGGUAGGAAUACCCGCUGAACUUAAGCAUAUCAAUAAGCGGAGGA